rnacentral:lncRNA from 1 species
GGGGUCUCAGCACAUUUCUGCUGACUGGCAGGAUUCAUUAACCUCGUUGCAGGGUUUCUGAAGCCAGUUGGAUGAGUAUGUUCUCAGAAAUGUACUGUCAUUGCUGAAUUUAGAAAAGACAAGUGCGGAUGCAGCUUUGGCAAGAUCAGUGCUGGGUUCGUGGAGAUGCACAAGUGCUGGUGCACAUCGCACAGUCUGUUGGCAGUGAACACACAUCAGAGGAAGUGUAGAGGGGUCACCAUUAAAAAAAAUUUGGUCUCCAGGCCUCCUUCUCUCUGUAAAAUAGCUGAGCCACGUGGGGCAACUGAGUCAAGGAAGCUGGUGAGGACUGAUGGCCGUUCACUGCAAACAUCAGUACAGCAUCCAGAUUUUGUUCUUGAUGCCUGGGGAGGGAGUUUCCACUGUCAUUUGCUAACAGGAAGUGGAAAAGGCUUGCCCCUGCCCCUCAAAAACCCCUUUGGUCUUUAAAAGGCAACACAUCUGGUGUAAGCACAAGUGACUUCUCAGUUGCUGUAGGCCAGCAGCUAAUGGGCUGCAGCCACCCACCCCCAUUUCUCUUGGACAGACAUUUUGGCCAGCAUCUGAGCUUAUGAGAUUGCAUGAGGUGGCAAGAUUUGCACGCCUUGAAUGGUGUCACUUUCCUGUGAAAUGGGGUGUCACCUGGGAGUGCCCUGCACCCUGCUUCUCUUGAUGCCUCGGCUAUUUAAGGCUGAAUCUGCAUAACCACCUAGUGCUGGUUCCAUGUGAGUGAGGGAUUUAUUGGACCUUCAGAAAACCAGAAGAAAGAAUGGCAUACCUCACAAUGUAUUUAGGCAGAGACCCACGAGAGUUUAAGCCCCUGCUUGCAGACCAUAGUAUCGGCACCAUUUGGGAGCUCAGCCCUGAGCCUGAGCACAGGUCCUCUUCCCUCUCGAAGAUUGCUUCACCACAACAUCGGGAUACUCCACUCUCAUCAAGCCUUCAAUAUUUCCUAAAUAUCUCUCGAGUUUUCUUUAUUUUCUUGUGUGCAUCUGCAAAACCUCAAUUCGCCAGAGAUAGACUCUUCUCCACUGUGUGUUUGCAGGACUCACUGAAAGGCGGGCAGAAGUGGCACUGAAGUCAGCCAUAGGUUUGCCCAAGCCCUUUGGGAAGGUGUUUCUUCUACCCAGGAAGGAAAAAAAGAAGCUUUAAGAGUGAAGCAAGAUCUUCACAGAAACAAUGUCUGAUGGGAAAUUACUCUGUGCUUGAAACAAAUAUUUUAAGAGAUAGAACAACAGUUACAAGAACAGUGGUGGUGUGUUUGUAUGGCCUGUAUUUUAAAUUGCAAAACUGACAAAAAGAAAGUUAAAGGUCGCAGAUACCAAAACGUCAUUUCCAGCCCUCCUCUUCUGCCACGUUGGGACCAUGAGCUUGUAUUCAGGGAAAUUAGUAGCUGGUCCUCAUGUUGCAUGACCAAGAUCCUGGAAAUGUGCCUCAUAGCCAGUCCUACUUCAUCAAAUGGGAUUGCUGGGAGAUAGCCUCCAACUGGAGCAGCACAUCUCCAUCCGGCUGGAUGGAAACUGUCCCAGUGUUGAAAAGGACUUAUUCGUAUUAUAACAGCAUUUUAUAAUAUAUUAUAGAAACACUUGGAGUCCCAGUCAACGUAAGAGCCUCGCUUAUUGUUUGCAUGGGUUGGAAGAGGCUACCCUGUAAAGAUUAAAGCCUGCAUGCAAGUAAGACAAAAUGCAUUAGACAGAAAUCAGAAAACUCUUCUCAGUGUGUCCUGAUAGGAACAGCUUCACCUGAUACUUUGGCUUAAUUAUAAGCAAUGAUAUCAGUAAGGAUUCCUAAUCCACAUCACUAAUUUUCUGAAUAGUAUCAUCUACCAACACCACAGGCUGACUGGAAACUUCAUAUAAUUUUCCUUGAGAGAAAACAGCUGUUGAAAAAAAAUGCAAUUCAUUUGUUGUUUUUUUUGUUGCUGAAGUUUUGCUGUAGGGCUGAAAUACCCCAAUCAAAACUUGUACCCAUUUACACUGACUUCCCCCUCCUCUUGUUUGUGGAGGGGGAAGUCACAGAGCAUAAUUUUCGCAACAGGAAGAAUCGCUGACAUAUUGAAGCCUGCCUGUAGGGAUGGGGCAGUGCGAGGGGGAGCAGAUGGGGCCUCUCAGGCCGUCCACUUGCUCCCAUGCUCACAGCCCUCACCACUUUCUCCAGGCCUCUUCUUCCUUGCCCGCGCUCAGUGCCUCCAGGCGGCCCCAUGAAGGGCCCGUCACAGCGCCUCAGUGUCUGCUGCUGAUUACUGCACAAGGAUGUGCCAGGCUCCUGCGGUCAUGGCCCAGCACCCUGGUGCUUCUUCUGCUCAGCAAUAAUGCUGGAUGGUCCCGAAAUCUGGUGGGCAUUCAGCCCUAAAGAGGGCUCAGAGGAGUAUUUCAUCUCUGAAGAUGCCAUAGGCCCAGUGAUGGAUCCUUGGGAUCUGACAUUGAGGCCUCUCAUGGUUGAAGAUCCCAAAGUUUACAGCCUUAUCAAAACAUGUUACGGCGUGAGAGGAAUGAAGCUGGCUCUCGCACCUGAAGGCUACCUGCUGCUUGGAAAUGUGUUUCAAAGAGCCCACGUACACCAUGUGCAAGUCAUUUAGCGUCGGCUGGAGUUACUUGGCAGCAAGGAAUGGAAGGAAGAGGAAAGGGAAUAAUAUUUCCAGCUUUGGAAAAAUUAUCUCUAAUUACCCACUUUGAGCCAAGUGAUCAGAGGUAGGAAAUAUUCAUACGGGGAAAAAAGUCUUAGAGAGUUGCUUAAGCCAUUAUAUUUUCUUGAUGGGGACUGGCAGCCGUUCAGAAUUUGGGAAAACGUGUAGCGGUGGCUGACUGCUAUCGGUUGAGUCAGAACCUGGAGCAAGACCGAUAAUGGACUCAACCCUUCUAAUUUAAAACACAGACCGUCUUGUUUGGGACACUGACCUGCCUGUGCCUCUCAGUCCUGUUUUUGUAGUUGAUGAAUUGCAAACAAUGACUGGCUUUGCAAAAAGCGAAUGGAAAUUGCACUGAGCCAGAUACAAGCAGAUUACAUCGACUUUGCUCCUUGAAUUCCUGGCUCCCCACAGUGACCACGGUAGCUCUUGUCAGCAGCACAACUCCAAGGUUUUCUGUAGCUCCACGGAGCUGAGAGAAAAUUAAUACUGGGGAGGUCAGGUUACAACAACAAACGAACAUUCAAAUUCUGUUAAAUAGAAGAGGCCAGAUCAUUAAGAAAGACAGGCUGCUGCAUUUAGUCUGAGGAUGACAUAAGUACCCAGGGCAACAUCUCAUUUAUGAAACGCUGCCUUCAUUUACAUUUCUGCUACUUUUCUUUUUUUCUUUUCAGAAGUAGGUAAUACAGAGACCUGUCAAAUUUAAAUGCAAGUCUCUCAUCAUACUAAUUAUCAGAGCUGACACAAUGCAAUAGUUUAUAUAUCACAAAGCAAGAUGGUGACAUCUCAAGUGCAAAUUUUGGCUAGCGAUUGAGGUCCUUGGAGCUUGGAAGAAUUUGACAAUUUCUGCUACAUCAGCAGAGAGCUUCCUAACAGAAGCAGUUUGAAAACCAUGAAAGCCUUAAGGGGAAGCCCAGUUGGAGGAGGAGCAGUACACGUUGUGUGGCAUGAUCUCCUGCAACUCAUGUUGACCUCAGUUCCAGUAUUUUUAUUUCCAGCCGUCUCUAACUCGUCUCAGGUUUUAGCCUUCCACUUUAUCAAGUGCAGAGUGUACAUUCUCAGGCAAGAUGAAAUAGCUCAUAAGCAAUGGAGCUAACCUCCAUUAGCUUCCACUUCAGGAAAUUUCUCUUUUGCAAAUUUUGACAUUUUGCCUAAACUCAUACUCAUGGUAUCAGAACUACCAUGCAGCUCCUGCCAUGUGGAAUACCAGCAUCCAAAUGCAAGACAGGUGUUUCUUCUGAUUUGUCUGCAGGGAAGUCUGAAUCUAAGCAUAAGCCUUGUUAAGCAUAAGCAUGAGAAUCAAUGACACAAAUAAAAAGUGAUUUCUGCUUCA